UACGAAGGGGGCUAGCGUUGUUCGGAUUUACUGGGCGUAAAGCGCGUGUAGGCGGACUUGUAAGUUGGGGGUGAAAUCCCGAGGCUCAACCUCGGAACUGCCUCCAAAACUACAAGUCUGGAGCAAGAUAGAGGCAAGUGGAAUUGCGAGUGUGGAGGUGAAAUUCGUAGAUAUUCGCAGGAACACCAGUGGCGAAGGCGACUUGCUGGAUCUUUGCUGACGCUGAGACGCGAAAGCGUGGGGAGCAAACAGG
rnacentral:rRNA from 1 species